ACUCCGUGACUUCCUGGAAGGGGAGAGGUACUGAGGUUGAGUCUAUCCCCAAUGGCCAAUGAUGUCAUCAAUCAUGCCUAAAUAAUGAAGCCUCCAUAAAAACUCAAAAGGAUGGGAUUUGGAGAACUUCUGGAAUGCUGAGCAUGUGGAGGUGCCUGGAGAGGGCAUGGAAGCUCCACAUGCCUGCCCACAUACUUUGCACUGUGCAUCCCUUCCAUCUGGCUGUUCAUCUGUAUCCUUUGUAAUAUCCUUUAUAAUAAAUAGGUAUUAUGGUUUGGAUGUAUGUGUCCCUCCAAAAUUCAUAUGCUGGAACUUAAACUCUAACGUAAUAGUGUUAAAAGGUGGGAUCUUUGGUGAAGUGAUUAAGUCAAGAGGGUUGUACCCUUAUGAAUGGGAUUAAUGCCCUUAUAAAAGAAAAUGAAGGGAGUGCCCAGCCCUUUCAGCCCCUUCUACCAUGUGAGGAUGCAGCAAGAAAAUGCCAUGUUGGAAGGAGAGAGUAGCCCUCACCAGACACUGAAUCUGCUGGUGCCUUGAUCUUGAACUUCCCAGUCUCUAGAACUGUAAAAAAAAAAGUGUUUAUUAUUUAUAAAUUACCCAAUCUAAGGUAUCUUUUAUAGCAGCCCUAACAGACUGAGACAAUAAGUAAAUAUAAGUGUUUUUCCCCGAGUUCUGUGAGUCACUCUAGUUAACUAAUCGAAUCCAGGGAAAGGGCAGUGAGAACCCCCAAUUUAUAUAAAGCCAGUUGGUCAGAAAUACAGGUCACAACCUGGGACUUGUGCUUGGCAUCUGAAGUGUGGGGCAGUCUUGUGGGGCUAAGCUGUUGGAUCUGAUGCUAACUCUGGAUAGACAGUGUCAGAGUUGAAUUAUAGAACAUCCAGCUGGUGUCCACUGGAAAACUGAUUCUGGCUGGUGGGGAGAAAUCCCUACAUAUUUUGGUGACCAGAGGGGAAGUAUUCUGCAAUGACGAUGAUAGAAGGAAAAGCAGUUUGGUUUUUUUUCCUUGGGACAUAUCACAUAAUGGUAAGGGCUCAUGAUCUGGAGCAGACUACCUGAGUUCAAAUCCCAGCUUCACCACUAACCAGUUAUGUAAUUUGUUGAGCACUUAUUAUCUGCCAGGCACUGUGCUAAGUGCCUUGCAUGUAUUAAUAUUAUCUCAUGAGUAAAGAGACACAGAGAGGUUGAGUAUCUUAUCCUAGAUCUCACAGAAGAGCAGGGAUCUUAACACAGGCAUCUGAUUUCAGAGCCCACAUUCUUAACCACUGCACUGAAGUACUUUUUUUUUUUUUUUUUUUUGAGACGGAGUGUCGCUCUGUCGCCCAGGCUGGAGUGCAGUGGCGGGAUCUCAGCUCACUGCAAACUCCGCCUCCCGGGUUCACGCCAUUCUCCCGCCUCAGCCUCCCGGGUAGCUAGGACUAGAGGCUCCUGCCACAACACUCGGCUAAUUUUUUGUAUUUUUAGUAGAGAUGGGGUUUCACUGUGUUAGCCAGGAUGUUCUCGAUCUCCUGACCUCGUGAUCCGCCCGCCUCGGCCUCCCAAAGUGCUGGGAUUACAGGCGUGAGCCACCGCGCCCGGCCCCAGUACAAUUCUUUUACAACCAUUGUUUUAAGCUAUAUACAUCUCUAUUAGUGAGGGUUCUACAGAGAAACAAAACUAAUAGGGUACAAAUUCACAUAGAAAGAGAUUUAUGUUAAGAAACUGGCUAGUGUAAUUAAGCUGGCAAGUUUGAAAUCUGCAAGGUGGACCAUCAGGCUGGAGACCCAGGAAAAGCUGAUAUUGCAGUUCACGUCCAAAGGCCAUGGCAGAAUUCCCUCUCGCUUGGGGGAGGUCAAUUUUUUGUUCUAUUUAGGCCUUCAGCUGAUUGGAUAAGGCCCACCGAAAUUUGGGAGGGCAACCUGCUUGACUCAAAGUCCCCCAAUUUAAAUGUUAAUAUUGGCCUAGCAUGGUGGCUCACGCCUGUAAUCCCAGCACUUCAGGAGGCUGAGGCAGGCUGAGGUCAGGAGUUCAAGACCAGCCAAGCCAACAUACAGUGAAACCCUGUCUCUACUAAAAAUACAAAAAUUAGCUAGGCGUGGUGGCACACACCUGUGGUCUCAGCUACUUGGGAAGCUGAGGCAGGAGAAUCACUUGAACCCAGGAGGCAGAGGUUGCAGUGAGCCAAGAUCACGACACUGCACUCUAGCCUGGUUGACAGAGCGAGAUUCUGUCUCUCAAAAUAAAUAAAUAUAUAAAUGUUUAUCUUAUCCAAAAACAGCCUCACAGAAACACCCAGAAUAAUGUUUGACCAGGUAUCUGGGCACUGUGGCCCAGCGAAGUUGGCACAUAAAAUUAACUAUCACAGCUUCCAUCCAUCAAAAUAGGUAAAAAGACUCAGAGAAGGUGGUAAUGGGGAGACAGGGAAAUGUUUGGACAUGGAGUAGCCCAGCAGGACCAGCCUGAGAGGCCCCUAUUACAUGGUGAUGGCCAGGGACCCACUAAACACACCAACACCCAGUGAAAGCAACAACAAUAGGGGUGGGGGUAGAAUAGCAGACUCAUUUGGCCCACACACUCUCUCAGGCCCUUCUUACUAAACCUCCUAUCUGUAGGGAUAGUGUGAAAGGAUUUGGCAGGGUCCUGUAUGAGAAACCUCACAAAGUUUGGAUUGUCUUUUACAACCAUGAGCUGAAGGCCCAUUUGGUCAGGGACUCUUCAGUUUGGGAUGUGACACUCUUGGAUUAGGGGGAUCUGAAGAUCUUCUGUAAAGCACUACUUGGUUUCCAUCAAGCUGUGGAGGGAGUGCUCUUGGACACUAAAAAAAAAAAAAACACCUUCUCACUUCCUCAUUUGGGACUGUCAAGCCAAGAAUGCAAGGAGAGGUAUACAGAAAACACCUCAUUUGGAGUUAUUUACUUUAACUGCUCAGCAUUGUGAGAACAAGCUCAUUCUUGUACCUUUCCUCCGUGGAUUUGGUGAUCACAACAAGGGACUUAUCCAUCAUUGGAGUGGCCACAAUCUGAACAAGUUCCACCCACUGCCUGAGAGUCCUGCCCUGAAUUUUAGACUUUGAUCAUAAAAAAAUGGAUAAUAUAAUUUAACAGUGAAUAAAUUAGAUAUCAAUGAA
rnacentral:lncRNA from 1 species